rnacentral:lncRNA from 1 species
GAUGUUCCACUGCAAGCAUGGCAAGGCCUACCUCUUCAACAAGGUGUAAGUAAUUAGAUGACAGCGCCCUGCCUCAAUCUUCAUGUUGUUAUGUGUCUCCAUGUUGCCAUCAUAGUUUUACUGUGUGCCUGUUCUCUGUGACACAGAUGCUACUGCAUUAUUAUUUAGAAUAGCUGUGCUCUGUUCUCUCAUGCUCUAUGUGCCCAUGGUCAUCAAGCAAUUGCAAUUUCUAGUGUUUUGGGCUGUUGUGAUGGUCUGUGAUCCAAAUAUACAAUGCUAGAUAUGAAAAUAUAUGAUAUGGUCAUAGCUGAAUGCUCAGUUUAGUAUUGUACACUGUCAGAAAUAUUCUUGGUAAAAUCAGUUUUGCAGCACUUCACUGAGAGAUAGAUUGUGUUCCUUAGUCCAUGUUUGCUCUGCAAUCUUUGAUCUAAGAUUCUGAUUCAGAAUGAUUGUAUCUUCAUUUUUGUCUGACAAGUUUGCCUUCUCAUCGCUGGAUCAAGGUCAUUUCAGGUUCAUCAGGCUGCCCAUGUCCAUCUACCACCCAAGCCAUGUCGCAGAGCAGCGGAGAUACUCCACAUGAUCUGCUUCAGCUGCCUCCAGUUCAAGAAUAACCUGGAUUUUCUCAGAAAGAUGUAUUAUGAGCUGAAAUUUGAAAGUGACACUAGCUGACUAGCAUAACUUGGAUUUUCCCAGAAAGACGCAUGAUUCAUUUUGAAAAUAACAGGUGUAACUACAGUAGCAAUCAUCUAAACAAAAAGCAUAUGCCAUGCUUUGUGUAACACAUAGUUCAGUAGCCUAGACAUUUGUGAUGCAAAAAUACCACCACAUUACCCAAACCCUCAAACAGUAUAAACCUCCACUCAAAGUCCAAGGUUAAUUUAAGACUGUUAAUUAAGCUAUCGAUGGCUGGUGUUUAUUUUAGUUGUAGGUUUCUGAGGAGGAUGGCAUGUGUACAGUAUAAGCACUAAUUAAUUAUAUUUUGCCGUAUGUGAUGGUCCAGCCAUCAGGCCGUGGCCGAGUGUAGAGCAGGUCACCCAGCCAAUGAUUCGGUGUUUGGAUCUGUGAUGGUGGUCUUCCGGCCACCACAAUCUUGUUAUUGUGAUAAUCUUUUUUGCUGAUGAAAUAUGUCACAAUAUUUGUGCUUUGCAAGAUUCUGUGGCUACUAUGUUGUGCUGCCUAUAUGCAUGAUUAUGUAGGAUUCUGUUCUGCCUUUCAUGACAUAUAUCAUUCUUUUGGCAUUAUGCUACCCAUAGUUAGUUAAGAGAGCUACAAAUUAUCUUUUCCUUAGGUUGGAUAAUUUUGAUUGAUUAGUGUGUGCUUGAGCACGUACAGCUGAGAGCACCUCAUGUAUUUUAUAUAGAUGUUCAUUAAAGCUAUUAUCCGCGUCUUCUGAUUAUUCACUGUAAUUGACAUCUCUACUGUAUUUGUGAAUAUAUGAA